UUUAAAAACACGCUCUGUGGCCUUGGUUUGCAGAUGCGUGUGGAGAGCGAAUGGGAAUGUAAGUUGUGUGAGAGGUGAGCGGGUGGGCGUCUGAGUGUGCGUUUGUUUUGUGUGAGUGGUAAUUGUAAACUUGUUUUUAAAAAAACUACACAGUGAUCUUAUUUGAUCAGGCCAGAGUUUAAGCCUUGCUCCGGUUCUGAGAUGAUAAAAAUCCGACAUGCUAGCUAAAUAUUUAGCAAUGUGCGUGAGGCAAUUUCGCUAAAGCAAGGCAUACCCACGAUUGUGGUUUUGAAGUGAUGAAUUGAUCAGAUAUACUAGGGCUUGGGGCGGAUUCUGAAUUUAUUCCGCGUCUGCGCCCUUGUUCGAUGAGUAUAGAGGCGAUUCUGAUCAAA